GCAGCCUCGAGUGCUGGAGAAAGCCACUUUGGCAUAUUAAUCACAGCAAAUGAAUGUGCCCUGCCGGCUCUCGCAUGGGGCACCUCGCUAAUACUGGGCUUGCACUACAGCUUUCGGAUUCAACCAGUGUUUUGAUUUCCUGACCCAACUUCCCUCCACAUGAAAAACAGCCAACAGACCAGCCACACCAGGUACCACCGCAAAACAUGCAGAAGCGGCAGGCAGCGAGAAAGAGCUGGAGCCAGCACCACAGGGCAGGAGCAAGCCGGAGGAGGUGCGACAGCAGCCAAUUGUGAGCCGGGAGAAAGUUGCAGCCACCGGGGCUGCGAUUCCUCUCUCGCUGCCGUGGCCGCCGCGCCAGCCCGGCAUCUCUGCUUCGCUUGCUUUCUUCCCUUUUUUCCACCCGCUCUUCUUCUUUCUUUUUUUUACACUUGGCUACGGAACAUUAGAUUUGACGAAGGGAAAGCGAUUUAACAUCUUUUAACUGAAGGAGGUUGAUUUUCAUUUGAGACCAAAUGGCUCAUUUUUACCUUUUUAGCUCCUGGAAGAGUAAAAAGUGAGAGGUCAGCCCUGCGUCACCAUGGCAACCCACACAGCUCGGGCCAGGAGCAGAUGAACGGAGCUCUUUACGCCGUGUGAUCACCAGGAAAUGAGGAAAGACCCAUGGGUACCAGGCCCUGGGUUAGGUGCUGUACCGUCUUAUUGCCUCUGAUCCUCGCAGUGGUCUCAUGAGCCACAGAAUCGAAUACGACAUUGCAUCCCUCCCGUUAGCUCAUUAGCAAUGAAGGAUCUGAUCUUUACAAGAAAAAUUGGGAAAUUUCACCACAGAUGGGAAUGCCUUGAUUGCUUGGUGAGGCUGUGACUGCACAGUCAGCAACAGGUGCUGUUGCUUUUGUAGAACCCUGUGCUUCAAAAGACAAGCUGAGACUCCGAAAUGAAAGUUAAUGACAAAUCCAGCCAGAGUGAACAGAUGGAGUGACAAGUGACAGCCCAUCUUAUAUAUAUGAAUGUUUGUGCUUCCCCAUCUGCGUGAGAUGUGUCCAUUGACUUGCUUUGACCAAUGGGGGAAGACACGUGUGUCUUCUUUGUGUAAAAGAACUGCUUUGUUCUCCACCACUUUCUUGCCCUUGCUACAGCAAUGGGAGACUCCCAAUGAUGGAGCCUUCAUCAGCCUGAGUCUCUGAGUGAGGAUUUUGUAGAGAAGAGCCCCUCACAAAUCUAAAGAUGGACGUGUCACAUAAGUGAGAAAUAAACCAUGGAUUUAAGUCA
rnacentral:lncRNA from 1 species